rnacentral:tRNA from 1 species
GGAGAGGUGACCGAGUUGGCCGAAGGUGCGCGCCUGCUAAGCGCGUGUGGGGGUUAAACUUCACCGUGGGUUCGAAUCCCACCCUCUCCGCCA